rnacentral:rRNA from 1 species
GACGAACGCUGGCGGCGUGCUUAACACAUGCAAGUCGAACGGAAAGGCCCUUCUUUUGUGGGUUGCUCGAGUGUCUAACGUGUGAGUAACACGUGAGUAACCUUCCCUUGACUUUGGGAUAACUUCAGGAAACUGGGGCUAAUACCGGAUAGGAGCUCCUGCUGCAUGGUGGGGGUUGGAAAGUUUCGGCGGUUGGGGAUGGGCUCGCGGCUUAUCAGCUUGUUGGUGGGGUAGUGGCUUACCAAGGCUUUGACGGGUAGCCGGCCUGAGAGGGUGACCGGACACAUUGGGACUGAGAUACGGCCCAGACUAAUACGGGAGGCAGCAGUGGGGAAGAGUGCACAAUGGGAGGAAGGCUGAUGCAGCAACGCCGCGUGCGGGAUGACGGCAUGCGGGUUGGAAACCGAUUUCGCCUGUGAAGAAGAGUGAGUGACGGUAAUGGGUAAAGAAGCACCGGCUAAAUACGUG